rnacentral:lncRNA from 1 species
UCCCUUAAUUUUAUAAAUAAGGUAAAUAUUCAAUCAAGCACAUUAUCAUAUUUCUACAUAAGAUCAAGUUUUCAUUGAUUAGCCAAACAUGAAUACAGAACAUGAGAAAAAUAUGAAAAUAUAUAAAAUGUAUGAGUGCUAAUUCCUAUACAGAUAAUAGAAAUAGAUUGCUAGGGUCACUAAAGCUCUAUAAAAGGAAUCCUAACAUCCUAAAUAAGUAUAGGUCAGAAUAAUCCUAAGAUGUAAAUCUAAGCUGACUAGAAGG